rnacentral:rRNA from 1 species
CGUUGUAAUCUCGAGACGCGUUUUCCGCGCGGCGCUAUGGACAAGUUCCUUGGAACAGGACAUCGUAGAGGGUGAAAAUCCCGUACUUGCCAUGGAUGCACCGUGCUUUGUGAUACGUGCUCAAAGAGUCGAGUUGUUUGGGAUUGCAGCUCAAAAUGGGUGGUAGACUCCAUCUAAAGCUAAAUAUCGGGGAGAGACCGAUAGCGAACAAGUACCGUGAGGGAAAGAUGAAAAGCACUUUGGAAAGAGAGUUAAAAGUACGUGAAAUUGUCGAAAGGGAAGCGCUUGAAGUCAGCCAUGCCGCUCAGGACUCAGCCUGGCUUUUGCUUGGUGUACUUCCUGGGUAGCAAGUCAGCAUUGGUUUGGACCGUCGGAGAAGCAUGGCAGGAAUGUGACGCCCUCGGGCGUGUUAUAGCCUGCCAUUGGAUACGCCGGUCUAGACCAAGGAACGCAGUGCGCCUUACGGCGGGUCUUCGGACACCUUCGCACUUAGGAUGCUGGCGUAAUGGCUUUAAGCGGC